rnacentral:rRNA from 1 species
UCCGGGCUUCACUCCCAACCCCUGUGACAUACCUAUACGUUGCCUCGGCGGAUCAGCCCGCGCCCCGUAAAAAGGGACGGCCCGCCCGAGGACCCCUAAACUCUGUUUUUAGUGGAACUUCUGAGUAAAACAAACAAAUAAAUCAAAACUUUCAACAACGGAUCUCUUGGUUCUGGCAUCGAUGAAGAACGCAGCAAAAUGCGAUAAGUAAUGUGAAUUGCAGAAUUCAGUGAAUCAUCGAAUCUUUGAACGCACAUUGCGCCCGCCAGUAUUCUGGCGGGCAUGCCUGUUCGAGCGUCAUUUCAACCCUCAAGCUCAGCUUGGUGUUGGGACUCGCGGUAACCCGCGUUCCCCAAAUCGAUUGGCGGUCACGUCGAGCUUCCAUAGCGUAGUAAUCAUACACCUCGUUACUGGUAAUCGUCGCGGCCACGCCGUAAAACCCCAACUUCUGAAUGUUGACCUCGGAUCAGGUAGGAAUACCCGCUGAACUUAAGCAUAUCAAUAAGCGGAGGAAUC